rnacentral:rRNA from 1 species
UACGAAGGGGGCGAGCGUUGUUCGGAUUUACUGGGCGUAAAGGGCGCGCAGGCGGCUCAUUUUGUCAGGCGUGAAAGCCCCGGGCUUAACCUGGGAACUGCGUUUGAUACGGAUGGGCUAGAGUUCGGGAGAGGAGAGUGGAAUUCCCAGUGUAGAGGUGAAAUUCGUAGAUAUUGGGAAGAACACCGGUGGCGAAGGCGGCAUCCUGGACCAAUACUGACGCUGAGACGCGAAAGCGUGGGGAGCAAACAGG